rnacentral:rRNA from 1 species
GAUGAACGCUGGCGGCGUGCCUAAUACAUGCAAGUCGAGCGAACAGACGAGGAGCUUGCUCCUCUGACGUUAGCGGCGGACGGGUGAGUAACACGUGGAUAACCUACCUAUAAGACUGGGAUAACUUCGGGAAACCGGAGCUAAUACCGGAUAAUAUAUUGAACCGCAUGGUUCAAUAGUGAAAGACGGUUUUGCUGUCACUUAUAGAUGGAUCCGCGCCGCAUUAGCUAGUUGGUAAGGUAACGGCUUACCAAGGCAACGAUGCGUAGCCGACCUGAGAGGGGGAUCGGCCACACGGGAACUGAGACACGGUCCAGACUCAUACGGGAGGGAGCAGUAGGGAAUCUUCCGCAAUGGGCGAAAGCUUGACGGAGCAACGCCGCGUGAGUGAUGAAGGUCUUCGGAUCGUAAAACUCUGUUAUUAGGGAAGAACAAAUGUGUAAGUAACUAUGCACGUCUUGACGGUACCUAAUCAGAAAGCCACGGCUAACUACGUG